rnacentral:tRNA from 2 species
GCCCAGCUGGCUCAGUCGGUAGAGCGGGUGACUCUCGAUCUCUGGGUUGUGAGUUUGAGCCCCAUGUUGGGUG